CGUCUGUUUCAUCCCCUGUAUGUCUAGUGAGGGGGCUCGCCUUUUAUGGGAGAGUUUUGGUUCAAACGUUUCGCUUCUUGAUUUCGCGAGGGGUGAGUGAUUGGGAACGGUCUGUUUAUGGACCACUGGGGUAACAACAAGAUGUGGGUGGAAAAUCCGAGCUUGACUUGGUGGAGUGGCUAUUGCCUUAAUUCAAACCUUACAAGAAUGCAUUUUUCUUUCUGGGAGUGAAUCUGAGGACGUGUUUGCUCCAAGAAUCGUAAUGGAAACGACGGGAGUAGCAGCUACUUGCCAGCAGCGCCAUGUCCAGCCACCGAGCAGGAUGGACGUGUGCGUAGCUUCCUGUUCCUGUUGUGCUGCGGCGGCUUGCAGUGGGAGCGCCAGCGCCAGCGGCAGCGACAGCUAGCGCUCGGCUUGUAGCGGCGGCGGUGACCACCACGGCGGGGAUGACCACAGAAGGCGGCAGCAGGGGCGGUGGCGGCGACCACCACAACAGGCGGCUUGUGGCGGCAAGGACGGAAGAAGUCGUCGGCGAUGAUGACGAUUUGCUGUAUCGUUAUUCGAUUACGUAGGUUACCCAGCGGAAUCAGAUUUCCAUAAGACUGCAAUCAGAUACGGUGUUAUCAGAUUACAGAGUAACCAAAACAAACAAGAUUCAAUGGAACCGGUUAACGCUGCCAUCUGUUAACGUUACAAAACUGUCGGCCAAACACGGUCCAGUGACCAAGGAUGUGUGUGUUCAUAAGGUUUUUAUUCCUGA